rnacentral:rRNA from 1 species
UACGUAGGCAGCGAGCGUUUGUUCGGAGUUACUGGGCGUAAAGGGUGUGUAGGCGGUUGUUUUAAGUUUGGUGUGAAAUCUCCCGGCUCAACUGGGAGGGUGCGCCGAAUACUGAAUGACUAGAGUGCGGGAGAGGAAAGUGGAAUUCCUGGUGUAGCGGUGAAAUGCGUAGAUAUCGGGAGGAACACCUGAGGCGAAGGCGGGCUACUGGGCCGAUACUGACGCUGAUGCGCGAAAGCCAGGGGAGCAACGGG